rnacentral:rRNA from 1 species
UCUUGCAGGAAUGAUUCCUUCCGCAGUGUACACUUGUAGAAGCCUUUGCAGCCACGCAAGUGGUAGAUCUAGGCGACUUUAAAUAAAUUCUAGGAUCGCUAUGCAAGUCGCACCACGCAUGUGGUGCCGGCGACACUUUCGAAUUGACGGGGAUACCCUAAAGCCUGUCGCACCAACUCUGUGUGGGAAACCGCUAGAGGGCCCGUGCUAACUACACGGGGUGGUAACAGACGACAUGGAUACCUCCACGCCUUUGGUGUGGAUACCAUGGGCAAUCCGCAGCGAAGCCUCUAAGUCCGGCCGCCGGAUAUGAGGAACGUUCACAGACUAAGUGGAAGUGGGUGGAGCGUUCGCCGCUCUGCUUAAGAUAUAGUCGGGCCCCUUGGGAAACCAAGGGGGUGAGUACACUGCUCGAAAUUCAGACUUGAACGUGUCUCGGAUAGCGCUCAUGUUAGAAUUUCGAGACUGUCGACUGCCUCGUGGUUUGACAGCUCUUAAAACGUUCCGUAGGUGAACCUGCGGAAGGAUCAUU